CCUACGGGAGGCAGCAGUGAGGAAUAUUGCUCAAUGGGCGCGAGCCUGAAGCAGCCACGUAGCGUGAAGGAUGACUGCACUACGGGUGGUAAACUUCUUUUAUAAAGGAGUAAAGUGAGGCACGUGUGCCUGUUUGUAUGUACUUUAUGAAUACGGAUCGGCUAGCUCCGUGCCAGCAGCCGCGGUAAUACGGAGGAUCCGAGUGUUAUCCGGAUUUAUUGGGUUUAAAGGGAGCGUAGUUGGGUUGUUAAGUCAGUUGUGAAAGUUUGCGGCUCAACCGUAAGAUUGCAAUUGAUACUGGCAGUCUUGAGUGCAGGUGAGGUAGGCGGAAUUCGUGGUGUAGCGGUGAAAUGCGUAGAUAUCACGAAGAACUCCGAUUGCGAAGGCAGCUUACUAAACUGCCACUGACAUUGAUGCUCGAAAGUGUGGGUAUCAAACAGGAUUAGAUACCCGUGUAGUC
rnacentral:rRNA from 1 species